UUGAACAAGGAAUCGGCCAUCCCAACGGCUGGCUAGCUCUGUUGCUGCUGCCAUCGCAUCCAUUGCCACUCCACACUACGAGCCCGGAAGCUUCAGAGUGAACUCCAGUCGAAGCUGUACCGGAGCAACAAGACGUUAUUCGGGACGUAGUUUCCUCGACUUUGAAAGUUUCCCUCAAGUACCGUGAGCGAUUCUCCAUCUUUUGUGCGGAACAUCACCUGAGGUUCUCCGUCCAAUAUGUCUGCUCAAGAUCUGCCGAAAGUUCCCGUCGAGAUCAAGGAUGAGCUCGCCAACUUUUCGCAGGACAAAUUGAAGGCCUGUGAAACUAAGGAGAAGAUAGUCCUUCCUUCGAAGGAGGACGUGGCCACCGAGAAAACCCACCAGGGACUCAUCAAAGGAGUUGAGGGUUUCGAUCAAGCACAACUCAAACACGCCGAAACUCAGGAGAAAAAUGUUCUGCCAACGAAAGAAAACAUCGAAGCUGAGAAGGGACACAAUCAGAUGGUCUCGGGGAUCCAGAACUUCGAUGCGUCGCAACUUAAGCACACGGAAACGGCGGAGAAGAACGUGCUUCCAACCGCCGAGAUGAUCCAGGAAGAGAAGCAGGCGAAGUAGGAGUCCCCAGCGACAGCGUAUACAGCAGCAACUAUUACAGCGAGAGCAAACACAGCAAAGCAAGAUAUUCAACAAUAAGUACUUUGAGAUCAUCAGUCAGCAUAAAGUCUAUUAUAUUCGAUAAUUUUCAAAUAAACGCCAAAAAUUGAAGUGUCGCCAAUCCGUACCACUAGUUUCGAUUGGAGCGAUUCGAGAGACGAGGUAUGUCCGACGUCAUCGUCGAGCCAUUUCUUUCAUUUCUCCCGGAUUGCUCCUCUGCUUCCUCAUGGAAGCCGUGAGACUUUCUGAAGUUUAUUUUUCGUGAUCCCUCAUAGAUGGGGAUCAUUACUAGAUUCUUGUAACCCGGUGUCAUAUGCAAUUACUAUACCAGUCGAGGGAUCCAUGAGCGAAAGAAAAUUAGAUCGGAAAGAAUUCGGAAGCUACUUCGAGAAACUAUCAAGAAAUCAGGAGCGAUGAAUCUGAAGCCAAGUAUCUGAUAAUGAGUUGUGCAUAUUCUUUCUACGCGAGGCGACUCGCCGAAUCACGGAAUGAAUGAAGAAAAACCAUGAUAACAAUAAUCUUAAGAUGCGAUCACGAAGUCAAACAUGGAAUAUUACUUAGAUGUAAAUCUUGAUUGAAUAAAUCGUGGUCAUCACCUUCCUAA